rnacentral:rRNA from 1 species
GAUCUACGGGAGGCAGCAGUAGGGAAUCUUCCACAAUGGACGAAAGUCUGAUGGAGCAACGCCGCGUGAGUGAAGAAGGGUUUCGGCUCGUAAAGCCCUGUUGGUAGUGAAGAAAGAUAGAGGUAGUAACUGGCCUUUAUUUGACGGUAAUUACUUAGAAAGUCACGGCUAACUACGUGCCAGCAGCCGCGGUAAUACGUAGGUGGCAAGCGUUUUCCGGAUUUUUUGGGCGUAAAGCGAGUGCAGGCGGCU